rnacentral:rRNA from 1 species
AGUGAACGCUGGCGGUAGGCCUAACACAUGCGAGUCGAACGGCAGCACAGUAAGAGCUUGCUCUUACGGGUGGCGAGUGGCGGACGGGUGAGGAAUACAUCGGAAUCUACUUUUUCGUGGGGGAUAACGUAGGGAAACUUACGCUAAUACCGCAUACGACCUACGGGUGAAAGCAGGGGGUCUUCGGACCUUGCGCGAUUGAAUGAGCCGAUGUCGGAUUAGCUAGUUGGCGGGGUAGAGGCCCACCAAGGCGACGAUCCGUAGCUGGUCUGAGAGGAUGAUCAGCCACACUGGAACUGAGACACGGUCCAGACUCCUACGGGAGGCAGCAGUGGGGAAUAUUGGACAAUGGGCGCAAGCCUGAUCCAGCCAUACCGCGUGGGUGAAGAAGGCCUUCGGGUUGUAAAGCCCUUUUGUUGGGAAAGAAAAGCAGCAGGUUAAUACCCCGCUGUUCUGACGGUACCCAAAGAAUAAGCACCGGCUAACUUCGUG